UGAGGAAUAUUGGUCAAUGGAGGAAACUCUGAACCAGCCAUCCCGCGUGCAGGAUUGACGGCCCUAGAGGUUGUAAACUGCUUUUAUACAGGAAGAAACCCCCGAACGUGUUCGGGGCUGACGGUACUGUAAGAAUAAGCACCGGCUAACUCCGUGCCAGCAGCCGCGGUAAUACGGAGGGUGCAAGCGUUAUCCGGAUUUAUUGGGUUUAAAGGGUGCGCAGGCGGGGCAAUAAGUCAGUGGUGAAAUCCUACAGCUUAACUGUAGAACUGCCAUUGAUACUGUUGCUCUUGAGUACAGUUGCGGUAGGCGGAAUGUGGCAUGUAGCGGUGAAAUGCAUAGAUAUGCCACAGAACACCAAUUGCGAAGGCAGCUUACCAAACUGUUACUGACGCUCAGGCACGAAAGCGUGGGGAGCGAACAGG
rnacentral:rRNA from 1 species